rnacentral:rRNA from 1 species
CUACGUGCCAGCAGCCGCGGUAAUACGGAAGGUCCGGGCGUUAUCCGGAUUUAUUGUGUUUAAAGGGAGCGUAGGCCGGAGAUUAAGUGUGUUGUGAAAUGUAGACGCUCAACGUCUGACUUGCAGCGCAUACUGGUUUCCUUGAGUACGCACAACGUUGGCGGAAUUCGUCGUGUAGCGGUGAAAUGCUUAGAUAUGACGAAGAACUCCGAUUGCGAAGGCAGCUGACGGGAGCGCAACUGACGCUUAAGCUCGAAGGUGCGGGUAUCGAACAGGAUUAGAUACCCUGGUAGUCCGCACAGUAAACGAUGGAUGCCCGCUGUUGGUACCUGGUAUCAGCGGCUAAGCGAAAGCAUUAAGCAUCCCACCUGGGGAGUACGCCGGCAACGGUGAAACUCAAAGGAAUUGACGGGGGCCCGCACAAGCGGAGGAACAUGUGGUUUAAUUCGAUGAUACGCGAGGAACCUUACCCGGGCUUGAAUUGCAGAGGAAGGAUUUAGAGAUA